CCCAUUAAGUUCAUCUCCAGCCCCGUUCCUCUAUCCCAAUUCCCAAAAUUUUUGUUUUUUCCCUCUCAUCUUUCCCUCCCUUGUAACCUAAAAUCAACUCUGUGUUCUCACAUAAUUAACCCGGCAAACGCAUCACCUGUUUCUUUUUUUUUUCACAUUCAAAAUUUUCAGAAAACCGCUCUCGCCGAACACAUCACCUGUUUUGUUUCCUGAAAUCCGGUGGUAGAAAAGGGUAGGGUUAGAAUAGGGAUCGGUGGAUACCACCACAGAUCCGGUGGUAUAAGGGUAAGGUUGGACACCGCCACAGAUCCGACUCAAAAUCACCGGUGCUGUAGAAGUUGAUGAUGCCAUCAUCGUUGAACACCCUCUGCCUCGGUUUUUCUAAGAAGGUACAGAGGAUUGAAGUGGAUCUGGUGCUACACAUGUAUAGAUGAUAAAAAGGAUUGAAGUGGAUCUGGUUCUACACAUGAGUACAUGAUUCAAAGGAUUGAAGUGGAUCUGGGGCUACAUAUGAUAUUUGACACCACAACCGUCGGCUACGGUUUAUUUGGGCAAUCCUCGACUGUUAAGGGAAGGUUCUGUGUACAUUUUCUCUAUUAUAAUGAUUAGAUGUUUAGAUAAUUUUUUUAGCUAGUGGAUUUUAUCGAAGUCGUUGUGGUGUUGCAUGUUUGGAGAUAUGUAACUUAUCUGGGAUUAAUUGAUGUAUUGUUUUUGAAAUUGUUCUGUUUUGCUUUAGCAUUUUAGAUUUGUUGUACAUCACAUUUUCAUCAAUGUUGAGGAUAGAUGGUCUAGUGUCCGAUAUUGGUGUUAUCUUUUUGUUUCUUUAAUACUGAUUGCAAUGUUCUAUUAGGUGAAUUCAUUAGCUCCAUUGAUUACAUUAUAUCAUCAGUUUAAAUUUAAUGACACAUAACAUGGAUCUUAGUGUGUGAUCUUACUCUAUCAAGUUGUCUGGUUAUCCAUGAUGGUGGGAUAAGAUAGAUCAUAUGUUUGAUUACUCAUACUGUCAGGUGGUAACCAGAAGCUGUAAGUUUUUUCUUGUUUUACAACACAUUGUUUUACUCACCCAUAUGGUUAGUUUGAGCCUCUUAUUUAGAAGCAUAUUGAUGCAGUUACGCGUGCAAUCAAAUGGCUCAAGAACACUUAGUUAAUCACAGACGAUAAAGGAACCAAAAGGUUCAAGAACAUAGAUCGUUCUAUUCAGUAAUAAACCAAAAACUGAAUAAACAAUAAACCCUAGACCCUAAUUUAUAACUAUAGAAAAAGAUAAAUUAGGAAAUUCAAAUUUUAAAUAAAAAUAUAAGAUAUGAUGAUAUCCCCCUGCAUCACAUAUCUUCUUGUAUAGUGUAGUAAUCGUCCCUGAUAAUGGUUAGUAAUAAUGAUACCCCAGAAUUCAGAUGAACAAAUUCAGAGCUUGCACACAAAUAAUAUUUCUCUUCGCUUAAAUCUCAUAAGUUUAUGUGCACUAAUUUCAUGAGCAAUGCUAUAAUCAUCAUAUUAAGUGCCCAUUUCUUUGCAUCCCCAUGAAUUUUUAACAUUUACUUAUACUCUUGUCAUAUCUUUUAUCAGGAAGAAGACUUGAAACUUCUGUCAACGGGGAAGCAAAACUCUGGAUCUUCCCGAGAACUUUGAAACUCCUGGUGUUGAGGUUAUCACUGGUCCUCUUGGUCAAGGUAUUGCAUGUUGGUUUGGUUCUUGUUGAGAAGCAAUUGGCUGCUCGUUACAACAAACCUGAUGCUUAGGUUGUCAACCACUACACAGCUAACACAUGGGUGGAAGGUAACCUAGUCCCAGAGGUCGCUAUGGUGGUUGUAGCCGUGGAAGAGAUCUUCCAACAAGUUUUUUGGUUUGUAAUCUUCGUCUUGAUUGGCGUUCCUAGAGGGAUUCAGCCCUAAGAGCACCACCAACAAGUAAGGAAGUGGUUGACCAAGAUGGGAGCAGAUGCCAAAUGUGCCAUUUGCACGAACCAAAAUUUCUGAUUCACCUUAAAUUGCUACCUUGCAUCCAGAAAUUGAUCUGUAGAUUUCUUUUUUUUAGAGCUUGAUCCCCCAGGUUAGGAGCAAACAUUUAAUUCAGAUAAGCCUAAAAGUCUAGACUAUGUUUUGUGAUAUACAAGAAGCAUAUUACAAUUACAGUUUAGAGAUUGAUCCCGAAACUUAAACAACGUAAAUGUGCAGAUUUUGCAAAGCCAAAGGGUUUCCAUAUGGUCUAUACACUCCACAAAUGGCUAUGUAAUACCCUUUUCGCCCACUUAUUUGAUGACCAUUAACGCAAUGUUGUCAUAUCUCAUGAAGAUUGUAGAGGUUCAUGAAUGCAAGUGGGUUUGUUGUUGUAAGUGCUAUUAGGAGUGAUGCGGGUUCCAUUGCAAUUGCUACAUCAUUUGUAGAUACCUUUUGUUUAGAAGUUCUGUAGCUUUAAUACUCUAAUUGAGGCCUUAUGUAUGAAUUUUGGUAUGUUAUUAUUAAUACCAUUUGGGUU